UCUGCUUCCAUAAAGCCUUUUCUUGGAGGCAGCCCCAGCUUCGUAGCCAUGGAAUGAAUUAACUUCUCAGACUGCUGAUGGCUACCUAGACACCUCCUGCUCUGUUACUGGAAACAGCAGAAGACAUCUACCAUCUGGAAACUUCUGCCCUGGGAAGGGCCCUUCAUCCAUGCCUCUACAUUUAAACCCAGUCCAGUUCAGUACACACUCGACACUCAGCUACGAAAAGGCGAGACAACCUACCUGGUGGCCCAGAAGACCUCCCACCUUCCUGGAAGUCGGUAUAGAAUAUGCAAAGGGUCUGAAGAGGAAGCACUUGGCAAGGGGCCAGGACCUCAGACAGAGGCAUGUCAGCCCAGCACUGUGCUUUAGAGAGCUGGAAGAGGUCUGCCUACAAC
rnacentral:lncRNA from 1 species